rnacentral:rRNA from 1 species
GACGAACGCUGGCGGCGUGCUUAACACAUGCGAGUCGAACGGAAAGGCCCUGCUUUUGUGGGGUGCUCGAGUGGCGAACGGGUGAGUAACACGUGAGUAACCUGCCCUUGACUUUGGGAUAACUUCAGGAAACUGGGGCUAAUACCGGAUAGGAGCUCCUGCUGCAUGGUGGGGGUUGGAAAGUUUCGGCGGUUGGGGAUGGACUCGCGGCUUAUCAGCUUGUUGGUGGGGUAGUGGCUUACCAAGGCUUUGACGGGUAGCCGGCCUGAGAGGGUGACCGGCCACAUUGGGACUGAGAUACGGCCCAGACUCCUACGGGAGGCAGCAGUGGGGAAUAUUGCACAAUGGGCGGAAGCCUGAUGCAGCAACGCCGCGUGCGGGAUGACGGCCUUCGGGUUGUAAACCGCUUUCGCCUGUGACGAAGCGUGAGUGACGGUAAUGGGUAAAGAAGCACCGGCUUACUACGUG